UACGGGGGGAGCAAGCGUUGUUCGGAUUUACUGGGCGUAAAGGGCGCGUAGGCGGCCACCGCAAGUCGACUGUGAAAUCUCCGGGCUUAACCCGGAAAGGUCAGCCGAUACUGCGGGGCUAGAGUGCAGAAGGGGCAACUGGAAUUCUCGGUGUAGCGGUGAAAUGCGUAGAUAUCGAGAGGAACACCUGCGGCGAAGGCGGGUCUCUGGGCCGUAACUGACGCUGAGGAGCGAAAGCGUGGGGAGCGAACAGG
rnacentral:rRNA from 1 species